rnacentral:rRNA from 1 species
AGAAUGAACGUUGGCGGCGUGGAUUAGGCAUGCAAGUCGAGCGAGAAACUCAAGAAAGAUACUUCGGUUGAUUUCUUGGGUGGACAGCGGCGAAAGGGAGAGUAACGAGUAGAUUACGUACCCGAGGGUCCGGGAUAGCUGUGGGAAACUGCAAGUAAUACCGGAUAAUGUUUCCGAACCAAAGAUUUAUUGCCCUCGGAGCGGUCUGCUUACUAUUAGCUAGUUGGUGGGGUAAAGGCCUACCAAGGCAAAGAUGGUUAGCGGGUGUGAGAGCAUGACCCGUCUCACUGGGACUGAGACACUGCCCAGACGUCUACGGAUGGCUGCAGUCGAGAAUCUUCCGCAAUGGGCGAAAGCCUGACGGAGCGACGCCGCGUGCGGGAUGAAGGCCUUCGGGUUGUAAACCGCUUUUGUCAGGGAAGAAAUCCUCUGGGCUAACACCCCGGGGGGAUGACGGUACCUGGAGAAUAAGCACCGGCUAACUACGUGCCAGCAGCCGCAGUAAUACGUAGGGUGCAAGCGUUAAUCGGAAUUACUGGGCGUAAAGCGUGCGCAGGCGGUCGUGCAAGACAGAUGUGAAAUCCCCGGGCUUAACCUGGGAACUGCAUUUGUGACUGCACGGCUGGAGUGCGGCAGAGGGGGAUGGAAUUCCGCGUGUAGCAGUGAAAUGCGUAGAUAUGCGGAGGAACACCGAUGGCGAAGGCAAUCCCCUGGGCCUGCACUGACGCUCAUGCACGAAAGCGUGGGGAGCAAACAGGAUUAGAUACCCUGGUAGUCCACGCCCUAAACGAUGUCAACUGGUUGUUGAGAGGGUUCCUUCUCAGUAACGAAGCUAACGCGUGAAGUGACC